CACCUAUUGAAUCUGGUAGCUCAGUGAUAUUAUAACCACGGAAGGAUAGCACCCUUAAACAUCGUAACAUUGAUAACAAAUAAGAAGGGACACAAUUUGCUAAGGAGUUAUAUCGAAAACCAUAACGGUGUAGUGAUAAAGGCAGGAAGGUUCGCAUACACUUGAUAUUUUCAAACAACUCAAAUCUUUCACAGCGAUCAUAGGGGCUAGGGAUGUAAGAAGAGUGGCGAGAUUUUUCUCGCUUACGUGGAGUCACUUUAUCCUCCAAUCUGAAACAUGCAUCUCCAGCAACCACUUGUGCUAGGUCAUUCACCAGGUCAUGCAUUAUGAAUCCACCAGUGCUUGAAGAUUGAAAAAAUGAUCUAGAGAAUAGAUCUUGAAAAUACUCUUCUCCCACAUCC
rnacentral:misc_RNA from 1 species